rnacentral:lncRNA from 1 species
GCCUACUUUUGAAAGCAAAAAUGUAGUAAAAAGUCCCAGUCAUUAUAGAAGGGGACAAACUACAACUUCAGCCCAGCCAAGUUGGAAGACCUCUUGUUCAAUAGAACGUUCUGGAUGAGGUGCCUCUAUCUGGAGGUUUUGUGCCCACUCCAGAGCCAGACCAGGAGAAAGUUAUAGGUGAUGUUCUUUGUACCACAGUAUAUCCUUGUUUGUUACUAGAUGAAUCAACUGCUGAUGACAAGUGCUGCUUGCUUCUUUGUAGGAUUUUCUCUGAGAUUUUCCUGUGUUCUUGCUACAGGUACAAAGGUAUGCUUCUCCUGUGCAAUUGCAUUUAAAGGUAUGCUGUAUCAUGGCACCAUAAUCCUACUGAUUCUCUAUUUGUCAGUAUAGUUUUUCAUGGAAAAGUAGCUAAGGAUACUACUUUGUUCAGAGAGCACAAGUCCAGAAAGCCUGAAGCAAAUACCAGAAGUAACCAGUGCCCAACAGAGAAACCAAAGAGACCCAGUCUGCUUGUAGGAAAGUCAUAUUUCAGCUCUUGUGUUUAUGAAUCUGCUGUUUCCACCACUGUACUUGGCACUGCUGCCUCCUAUUGUGAAUGCUGCUGCAAAUGCUAGGCACUCUCAGCACUAUGUGUUUUCCUUUACAGCAAGAUCUGCACAACACUUUUGCAGUCAGGUCUUCCCUGUGGAUCCUGCAGAGCUGCCUUAUGCUGGGGCUCAGACAAGUGACAAUAAAGAUGCCACCCAGGAGGUUUAUCAUGUGAUGUGAAAGCAGCAGGAUAAGCAUGAUGCCUCAUCCUGGAGAGUACAAGCAGCAUCUUGGGAGAGUAUGUAUUACUUCUCACCUUUGGCAGACUGAACUCUGGGUGAGUUCAUGCUUGAUUUCCUGCUUCAGGGGUGGGCUUGUUGAUAUUACAUGCAGUCUCACCAUACCCCACUAGAGGGAUGACUGAAAGAACAUCAGUCGGUAUGUUUGAAAGCAGGAGCAGGACUUGCAAAAUAAAAGCCCUGCUGUAUGGCACAUCCCUUAUCAGCAAAGGGUGGGAAAUGAGAGGAAUCAAAGAAAAAUCAAAGUUGUGCCUUUUUUUUUUUCUUUUCAUUAUAAACAGCGGAGGUAAUUCCACACCAAGUCUGAUCUUUUGUUUUCCGUAGGAAGUAAGGAGGCAAGGCAGGUGAGCACGGGUUAGGCAUACUUGUUUGUAGUAAAGCAAAGAGGGAUAGGUGAUUCCAAUGCAUUGUCGGCAUCUCUCUCGGUUCUUACUCAUUUGCAGAUUGUCAGGCAGACAGGACCUUAACUGACUUUGAAUCUUGGGUGUGCCCAAGCACACAGCUGCAUUUCAAAAUGCACAGUGGCAGAAACCUGGCAUUCAAGCCCGUCCACUCUAUUACACUUACAGCUUGGCAAACACUGCUGUUACUGAUUCAGAGCUCACCAAAAGAGGUUCUGCUUUCUCAAGCCAUGGAAGUCCUCAAGAAAGGCCUAGCAAAUUGUAGAGUCCUGGCAGCAAGCUUACAUCCUAUGGUGUGUUUCUUAGCCAUUUGCAUGCUAUGUCCCACAGCUGUCAGGUGGCUGGUAAACAAGAAAUGACCCUCCUUAAUUUUGAAAGUAUGUCUCAGAAUUGUCUGUGGUGUGCUGGAGAGCUGCGGGUGGGCUUUCCUACUGCAUGCUGGUUGCAUCCUGUCACAUACUAUGCUUGCUGCUCAUGCCUGUACCUUCCACAGGAUGGAGCUGGUCUCUUGUG